AACGAACGCUGGCGGCAGGCUUAACACAUGCAAGUCGAGCGCCCCGCAAGGGGAGCGGCAGACGGGUGAGUAACGCGUGGGAAUCUACCCAUCUCUACGGAAUAACGCAUGGAAACGUGUGCUAAUACCGUAUACGUCCUUCGGGAGAAAGAUUUAUCGGAGAUGGAUGAGCCCGCGUUGGAUUAGCUAGUUGGUGGGGUAAAGGCCUACCAAGGCGACGAUACAUAGCUGGUCUGAGAGGAUGAUCAGCCACACUGGGACUGAGACACGGGCCAGACUCCUACGGGAGGCAGCAGUGGGGAAUAUUGGACAAUGGGCGCAAGCCUGAUCCAGCCAUGCCGCGUGAGUGAUGAAGGCCCUAGGGUUGUAAAGCUCUUUCACCGGUGAAGAUAGUGACGGUAACCGGAGAAGAAGCCCCGGCUAACUUCGUGCCAGCCGCCGCAGUAACAC
rnacentral:rRNA from 1 species